rnacentral:rRNA from 1 species
GAGUUUGAUCCUGGCUCAGAACGAACGCUGGCGGCGUGCUUAACACAUGCAAGUCGAACGUGAUUCAGAGCUUGCUCUGAUGAAAGUGGCGCACGGGUGAGUAACGCGUGGAUAACCUGCCCUGGUAUCUGGGAUAACAUCUCGAAAGGGGUGCUAAUACCGGAUAAGCCUACGGACUCCUCGGAGUCUGCAGGAAAAGGAGGCCUCUAUUUAUAAGCUUCCGUAUCAUGAUGGGUCCGCGUACCAUUAGCUAGUUGGUGGGGUAAUGGCCUACCAAGGCGACGAUGGUUAGCUGGUCUGAGAGGAUGAUCAGCCACACUGGAACUGAGACACGGUCCAGACUCCUACGGGAGGCAGCAGUGGGGAAUUUUGCGCAAUGGGGGAAACCCUGACGCAGCAACGCCGCGUGAGUGAUGAAGGCUUUCGGGUCGUAAAGCUCUGUCAGAGGGGAAGAAAUGGAAACGGUUAAUACCCGUUUUUCUUGACGGUACCCUCAAAGGAAGCACCGGCUAACUCCGUGCCAGCAGCCGCGGUAAUAC